rnacentral:rRNA from 1 species
CUGUUAUCGCUAAGUGAAUUCAUAGCUUAGUUGAAGGUAGACGUGGGGAACUGAAACAUCUAAGUACCCAUAGGAAGAGAAAGAAAUUCGAUUCCCCCAGUAGCGGCGAGCGAAGAGGGAAGAGCCCAAACCGAGAAGCUUGCUUCUCGGGGUUGUAGGACUGGACUUUAGAGUUACCAAGAGAUUUGAUAGUUGAAUGAUUUGGGAAAAUCAGCCAGAGAAGGUGAGAGCCCUGUAAACGAAAUUAAGUCUCCUCUGUCCAGGAUCCUGAGUACGGCGGAACACGUGAAACUCCGUCGGAAUCCGGGAGGACCAUCUCCCAAGGCUAAAUACUACCUAGUGACCGAUAGUGAACCAGUACCGUGAGGGAAAGGUGAAAAGCACCCCGGGAGGGGAGUGAAAGAGUUCCUGAAACCAUGUGCCUACAAGUAGUUAGAGCCCGUUAAUGGGUGAUAGCGUGCCUUUUGUAGAAUGAACCGGCGAGUUACGUUAGCAUGCGAGGUUAAGGGGGAAAGCCCGGAGCCGAAGCGAAAGCGAGUCUGAAUAGGGCGCUUUAGUAUGUUGACGUAAACCCGAAACCAGGUGACCUACCCAUGUCCAGGUUGAAGGUGCGGUAAAACGCACUGGAGGACCGAACCCGUGUAUGUUGAAAAAUGCUGGGAUGAGGUGUGGGUAGAGGUGAAAUUCCAAACGAACUUGGAGAUAGCUGGUUCUCUCCGAAAUAGCUUUAGGGCUAGCCUCGGAGUAAAGGAUAGUGGAGGUAGAGCACUGUUUGGACUAGGGGCCCGUCUUGGGUUACUGAAUUCAGAUAAACUCCGAAUGCCACAUAUCUAUAUCCGGGAGUCAGACUGCGAGUGAUAAGAUCCGUAGUCGAAAGGGAAACAGCCCAGACCACCAAUUAAGGUCCCUAAAUAUGUGUUAAGUGGAAAAGGAUGUGGAAUUGCACAGACAACUAGGAUGUUGGCUUAGAAGCAGCCACCAUUUAAAGAGUGCGUAAUAGCUCACUAGUCGAGUGAUCCUGCGCCGAAAAUGUAACGGGGCUAAACACAUUACCGAAAUUGUGGAUGUGUCCGUAAGGACACGUGGUAGGAGAGCGUUCUAAGGGCGGUGAAGUCAGACCGUAAGGACUGGUGGAGCGCUUAGAAGUGAGAAUGCCGGUAUGAGUAGCGAAAGGUAGGUGAGAAUCCUACCCACCGUAUGACUAAGGUUUCCUGGGGAAGGCUCGUCCUCCCAGGGUUAGUCGGGACCUAAGCCGAGGCCGAGAGGCGUAGGCGAUGGAUAACAGGUUGAGAUUCCUGUACUAGUUAAACUUGUUUGAACAAUGGAGGGACGCAGGAGGCUA